AUAUACGGGGGGAGACUCUUAU
rnacentral:miRNA from 1 species